GAUGAACGCUGGCGGCGUGCUUAACACAUGCAAGUCGAACGAUGAAGCCCAGCUUGCUGGGUGGAUUAGUGGCGAACGGGUGAGUAACACGUGAGUAACCUGCCCUUAACUCUGGGAUAAGCCUGGGAAGCUGGGUCUAAUACCGGAUAGGAGCGUCCACCGCAUGGUGGGUGUUGGAAAGAUUUAUCGGUUUUGGAUGGACUCGCGGCCUAUCAGCUUGUUGGUGAGGUAAUGGCUCACCAAGGCGACGACGGGUAGCCGGCCUGAGAGGGUGACCGGCCACACUGGGACUGAGACACGGCCCAGACUCCUACGGGAGGCAGCAGUGGGGAAUAUUGCACAAUGGGCGCAAGCCUGAUGCAGCGACGCCGCGUGAGGGAUGACGGCCUUCGGGUUGUAAACCUCUUUCAGUAGGGAAGAAGCGAAAGUGACGGUACCUGCAGAAGAAGCACCGGCUAACUACGUG
rnacentral:rRNA from 1 species